rnacentral:lncRNA from 1 species
ACAAGUGCUGUACUUAUGGGAAAGCGAUAGAGAAAGAGAAAAAAAAAAACGAAGAUUUCACAUAGUGAUUUUUUUUUGAUCAAAAAAAAAUAUGAUUGAAUUUAUUUCGUACCCUUCGCUCAAUGAGAACAUGGGUCAGAUUCUAUAGGAUCAAACCUAUGGGACUUAAGAAUGAUGGAAGGGAAUAAAAUCAAAAAAGAAAUCUAAAAAAUAAAUACUAAAAUAAAAAAUAAAAAUUUUAAAAACAGUUUCAAAAAGUAUUUUUAAAUUAUAAAAAUAAAAUUUGAAAAAAAUUAAAAAUAUAUUUCAAAAAAAAGUUAUAAAAUUUUUGAAUCUGAAAACAUAUAAUCUGAAACUAUAAAAAAAUUUCUUUUUUUCAUUUUAUUUAUUUUUAUUUUAUUUAUUUUUAUUUAUUUUUGUUUAUUUAUUUAAUUUUAAACCAAGGGUAUUAGAGAUAUUUUACCCUUUAAUGAAUGUCAUUUUUGUGACUUUCUCUUUCUAGUGCUAUUUUUGAGACAUAAACUUCAAAAAAUGUUAUUAUUGACAAUUGCUCUUAAUAUUAUCAGUUUCAAAAAAGAUUUAUGUAUAUGUUUAAGUACUCUGUUUAUUCGACCAGGACUGCGUCCAGCUCACGAGUUCACGUUUUAGAAUAUGCAUGUGUGAGUUUUAGACGACAAAAAUAGUGUAUAUAUAUUAAUUCUAUACUCCCUCCGUUCCUAAAUGAUCCAUGUUUUAGAAAAAUAUUUUGUUUCUAAAAGAUCCAUAUUUUACAUUUUCAAUGUAUGUAAUAAUGGCAAAUUGUAAACUUCAAAAACAUUAAUUGUGUUUACUGAAUUUUGAUUGGUUAAAAAUCAUAGGAAAUAGCUAAACACAGAAAAUUAUACAUUUAUUAUCAAAAUUUUAAGUGUUUUCUUAAUAAGUGUGAAAAUUCUAAAACAUAGAUUAUUUAGAAACAGAGGGAGUACAUAAUAAACUGAUUAAUUAAUAAAAGAGAGAAUAACAAACCGUAAUGUGGCCUCCAGCAAGCACACGAUCGAGGAUAUCGAUCAAAAUGUCACGGUUAUACUCAGGAUGUCCCUGAAUGCAGAGGAAGUUAUCUUCGAUUGAAUACAUUUCUACCUCGUACAUGCUUGAAUAUGCAAGUAGUUUUGCACUUUCAGGCAGCUCCAAAACUUCGUCCUGAUGACAUUUUAUGAUCCUCAGACUCGUCGGAACUUCCUCACCAAAGUAGUUUUCGGGCGCCACUGCGUCCUUCAGGAUGGUUAUGUUUCCGAGGCAAAGCUCUGGUCCUUUCCUUGCUCUCCCUACCUUCCCUCCCUUCACUCUAGCUAUUAGCUGUAUAAUAUUCAAUCAUUAAUUAUUUUACUUACAUAAAUAAUAUUACCAAAAUUGCGUACGUAUGAAACGUGAAGGUCCAUGUCAAAUUCUCAAGGUCAAUGUCAAAUUGUCAACCGCAGGUUCGAAUCAAGAACCAUUCAACAAAGAUGCAGCUAUCUAAUUUUUUACUCAUAAUCACUAUAUAUGCGAUAAAUAAACUAAUUUAUUGUGAUUUUACCAUAUGUCAUUUUUGCAAGUAAACAGUUGAAUUUUGUUAUAUAGGCAUAUACUCUAUAAACAAAACUUUAAAUUAUGAGGAAUUUCAAUUUACCUGGUGGCCAAAGCAUACACCUAAAACUUUCUUCUUCAUCUCAUCGAGUUUCUUGAUAAUAUCACAAAGCUUCAAGAUCCAAUCAGUGUCCUGAAAGGCAUCAUGGGAGCUUCCACUGAUGACAAAUCCAUCGUACUUCUCAAGAUCCUUCUCGUCGGGAAACUCACCGUCCAAGACUCUGUAGGAAUCCCAUUGCUCUCCUUCAUCGCCGAGCAAAGAAACAAACACGUUAUGGUAUCCUCCGUACGUUUUCUUGGCAAACUCCGAAUCAGGCACCCCCAGAAACAAUAGGUACUUCUUCUGUUCAACCAUUUGAUCGAUAAUUUAAGAGAUAGAGCUUGAAAGAGAGAGAGAGAGAGAUGAAGAGUUUAAGAGAAUGAAUGGAGAAGAGAGAAAUGUAAGUCUGGAUAUAUUUAUAAUGGCUAUGGGGUUCACCAUUCACUUCAACUCUUCGAACACAUCUUGUCUAAUUGUUUAUGCUUUUUUAGGUUUAUUUUAUUUAUUUUGUCUCAAUUUGACAAAAAAAUGUAUUAGAAAAUAGAAUAUUGAUUAUUGGUUUAACCAAAAAAGUGGCUGUUAACCAAUGUUGACCCCAUAAGAGCGUCAUUCUUCCAAAUUGUUUAAGCGUGAGAUCACUACUAUACGCGGUUCAUAAUUCCGUCUGGGAAAACUUCCAUAAAUUUGAAAAUUCCAUCAAGGCCAAAAAAUGAUUUGUCAUAUAAUGUACAGAAAUUAUGAAUAUCUGAAAAUAUAAUUAUAAUAUAUAAUUCAUAUAUAAUGAGUAAAAUGAUGCAAAUAAACAAAACCAAAUAACAUCUAUUACCCUGACAUAGGGUUAAUUUGUAUAGCACUAGUGUCCGGGUCCUUUUCCAUGUUCUUAAAUUCUGGUUGGCUUAUUCCUUCCGAGCUCUAUGCUCUUUGGUUCUUGAUAGUUUUGACUCAGUUUCUCUAGAAAUUGUUUGUAACCUUUGACUGAGCCUAUUUUGUUGUUUAUUUCGUUGUUUUCUUGUCUACCAAUCUUAGUCUUAAAGCUCAGGGCUUGUGAUCAGUGCCGGAGGUAGAAACAAAAUUUACCGGGUCAAAGUUGUAUAUGUAUAAAAUUAUUUGAGGUUUCACAGCUAAAAAAAGGGGGUCAAACCAUGAAAAAUAUACCAAUUAAUCAAAUAUGCACUACAUUAAUAUGCUUUUAUUUAGUUAAAUUUAAGAAUGCAAGGGGUCAACUGACCCCCUAAUCCUUCAUUGGCUCUGCCACUGGUUGUGAUUGUUAUCCUCCACCUGCUAAGCCUUCCCAUUCUUUGGGCUGUUUGUGAUCCUGUUGUAUUCUGCAGUUGAAAGUUCUAGUGAAGAGAUUGAAAAGGAGAAAAAAAUAUAUGCAAAUAAUGUCCGUCCACUGAGAGAAUAAGGAGUGCAGCCUACGGGAUGAUUUAUUCGAAAUGGACCUCGCUUCAUUUACAUGGGGAAGUUAAAAAAGGCCGUUCAUUUUCAGAGGAAACACAAAGGUUGUUACUCAAUUAUGCAUUUUAAUAGAAUUUAAAUUUAAAUGCAAUUUACUGUUAUUCGAAAGAUUAAUUUAAAUUCACUGUUAUUUAAUGAAUGAAAUAAAUCAAGUUUUUGAAAUCUAGUGUUAUUGAACUUUCAAAAACAAAAAUUCUAUGUAUUUCAAUUGAUUACAAAUCAUCUAUUGUUGAGUUUCAUGAAUAAUGAUUAAAACUAAAAUCUAAAAUAUACAGUAAUUUAACUUUAAAUUUAAAGUACGGAUAAGUCAAAGCAAGUCUUAAGUAUCUUAAUCCGAAAUGUGAUAAAGUAAAUCCAAAAUUCCCAUUCUGAAAGGAUGGCACCACUCCAACUCCCACUCUUACACUUCUUCCUACAUAGGUUCUAAGAACUUAUAAACUCAUCUCAAACUACCUAAUACAACUAGGACAAAGAUGAGUUCAAACAAUGUUUAGUUUGACUAAAGUUUUAAGAAAAAGUUUGUUAGCUACACCAAGUAUAGUUUGAAUAUGUCAAUAACAACACCAAAUAUAUGUUUCACCAUACCACAUGUUUGAAGUAAAUUAUUAUAUAAUGAAACUACAAAAUUUAGUUUAAUUGAUUUUAACACUAAGAAAUGGAGUCAAUCUGUAAUUUAUAAAACUUAAACCACAUUCUAACCCGAUCCGAAUCACAUUAACUUGUCUUUCCCCUGCUUGUUCGUGUUUUCACAAAGAUACUUGUCUUUCCCCUGCUUGUUCGUGUUUUCAUAAAGAUACUUUUGUCUCCACGUCUGUACCGUUCAUCUCUUAGAAAAUCAACUGAUUCAUCUCUCUUUUUUUAUCCCAAGCAAAACUGAAUUCUAUUUAUGUAAUCAUUUCGUUUAGAGAUUUGUUCAUAGCCGACUCAUGAUAUUUUGGAUGUGGUCUACUUAUGGACAGCUAACCAUUUUCCACCUCUAAUUGUUUCUUUUUCCACCUCUAAAUAUUUCAUUGGUCAACAUAUUUAUUUUCUUUAUAAACACUUCAACAAACUUACGGGUUAUAUGAUGGGAACAAAUAUUUAAUUUGGUUAACCUUCACUGGCAGCCUCCUUUUUGUCUAUUUGCGUAUUUUAAAUUGUCAGAAGCAGCAAUACUAAAUAUCUAAGAAAUGGUUAAUCGUUAGUUAAAUGGCGAGUUGAUAUACUAAUAGUAUAUAUAUAUAUAUAUAUUAGAGCAGCCACGGCUUUGAACGCAAAUACAUUACCCAUAAAUACACGUGGUCAUAAAAACACGAAGUCAUAUGUUCCUCCGUCGUCUGAGAAAGGACUCUCAAUUCAACAUCUUUGGUCCCAGUCCCAUUGAUAUUUGGUCAUUUCAACUUUGACAGAAAAUAAAUAGUUUACAAGCGCAAUAUUUUUAUUGGAGUUCCUUACUUUUAUACUUCACCGAUAUGGUUGUUUGACCCAUGAAUUAAAUUCGUGAUACUGUACAAAAGUUGGAUUAAAAUAUUUUCACAAUAGAAAAACAUGCGAUAACGAGUAAGCCGAGUUUACAGAAGAAGAAAAAAGAUGAUAGUAAUUAAGUGAUAAGUUGCCAAAGUACAAAUUUCGUUGUAAAAUCAACAUAAAUUUAUGAAUAAACUGACGACGAUUUAACAAGGACACAUAUAACAAGUAAUUUACGACCACAUUCUUUACAACCCACACGAGUGUAAGUUGGAUGAUAAUAGCAAACAUGUUUGUUAUAUGCAAUGUUCUAAAAAUUGUUAGGCCGUAGUUAGGCACUUCAUAGAGGAUUAUUGUUUAAGCGAACGUCUAAACCGAUUUUUUGAACGCCUAAAGUAUAUUUUUAAUAAAUUGGUUUGAUAAAAUCAUUUAGCUCAUACUCAUAUCCCAUUUGUCGACUGGACGGAUGCCAUGUCACAAGCUCAUACCCAAGCUGUCGUUGGGGAGUUUGGGCUCGCCAAGCUACUUAACCAUGUGGAUUCACAUGUGCUACUUAACCAUGUGAAUUCACAUGUCACAACCGCAGUUAAGAGGCCCCGUUGGUCUCAUUGCAUCGGAGUAUCUCUCCACAGGCCAGUCAUCUGAGAAACUGUUGUAUUUGGAUUUGGAAUACUGUUGCUAGAGCUUAUCACAGGAAUGAGAGCACUGGAGUUCGGCAACACCGUUAGCCAGAAGGGAGCUAUGCUUGAAUGGGUGAGCAACUACUAUACAAAUAAGUGUGUUCUUCUAAAACUUUAAAAGUAUUAUUGUUUUCAAAAUUCAAUCUCAGUAAAAAAGUAUUCUUUCCAAAUUUUCUCAAGAGUUGUAGCUUAAACCCAUAAAAUAGCCGAUGCGCUUUUUAAAGAAUUUUAGGCUUCAAGUAUUUAGCAACAAGAGUUACCCUUAAGUUGUAGAUCCACAUUUAAGUCUCUUAAAAUGAUUAAAGUUGAGCGUAAAGAGAGUAUUUAGCUCAAGUGAGAACUAACUAUUGCCGCUUUCUUCUUCUUGAAGCAAUCUCCAACGCCCAAGCUUUGCCAAUAUCAGUCUGAAACUUCCCUGAAUAAAAACCCCAACAAGUUUUAAAAGCCUUCAACCAUAUGUACUCUGAUAUGGAUUACAAUAGUUCACAAGAAUUUACCUGCAGUUGAUUGGAAAAACUCUUCUAAAUCUUUACCUUGCUCUGCACAAAACAAAAAGAAAUCAAGUUUUAGUUCAAUCCAUAUUGUCAAAUCAGGAGUUCUUCAUUGUGGGGGUCAUUACCUUGUUCAUACUCCAAAGCCUGUAGUAUCAUCUCAAGCUUAUCGAAAUCUUUAACAAGUUUGGCUUCUGGUGAUGCGUUCGCUUCGUAUUCUCUCCACAGCUCAGCGAUUUCUUCAGCUGCAAAUUAUACAUCUGUAUAAAUUAAAAAAAAAAGAGCACAAGAGAGAAAUGUAGUAUUCAGAAAGAGAGAAGAGAACCGACCUCUUUCUCCUCCACCCAAGAGUUUGCACAUGUGUUCAAGUGCUUCGCUCUCUCUUCGGUUUUUCUCUUCUUUAGAGACCCCGCAAGAAGGUGUAAUAUCCCCUACAAUGGCUGUUUCAACAAAAAUUAUAGAAUUUGAUUGGGAGAAAAAAAGAAAUUAGUGAAAGAGAACUAACCUUCUGCAAUGUCGUGAACAAUUGCCAUUUUCAUGCAUCUGAAUAAAGAAAGAAACCAUGAGAAAUUCAAAAGAAGAGUCCGUCUCCCAGAAAUUGAAUCUUGAAGCAACCAAGAAAAGCUUACUUGUCUCUGUUAACACCGGGGAUAUCUGAAGAAACUAACGCCAUAAGACCCAUCCGGUACAUGUGAUCCGCUAUUGAUUCUGGAUUCUUCACAUCUCUCUUAACCCAUCCAGCUCUUGGCGUUGUCUAUGAGUAAAAUAAACUCAUUCUCAUUAAUUCAACUACAAUGUACAAUGAUAGUAUUUAUACUCUAUACAGACUCGUGUAUCCUAUACAACUCCAUCUACACUUCACAAAUACAUAAUAUAGGAUAAUAGUCCCCCUCAAGAUGGGACGAAAAUGUUGAGAAGACCCAUCUUGCCCAACAAUCUCUUAAACGGUGCAGGAUACAUUGGCUUUGUAAAUGGAUCAGCCAAUUGUAAUUCCGUUCUCACAUGUAGCAACUUGAACAAACCAGCAACCAAGCGUUCCCGAACACUGUGACAAUCCAUCUCAAGAUUUUUGGUGCGUUCAUGAAACACUGAGUUAUGAGCAAUAUGAAUGGCAGCUGAAUUGUCACAAAAGAGAAGUGUUUGCUUAGACAGAGGAAGGCGCAACUCAAUGAGGAAGUUGUUGAGCCAAAACAACUCAUCAGAUACUACAGAGAGACUCCUAUACUCUGCUUCAGCCGAGCUCUUUGCAACGACCUUCUGCUUCUUUGAUUUCCAUGAGAUAAGUGAUGUACCGAUGAAGAUACAGAAACCAGAAGUAGAACAUCGAGAAUCCUGACAAGAGCCCCAAUCAGCAUCCGCAAAAGCCUGUAUUUGCAUCUCAGAAGAGGAAGAAUAGAACAACCCUUGCCCAAUUGUUCCUUUGAUGUAAUGAAGAAUCUUGAUGAGAGCUUUAUGAUGACUCUGACGCGGAGCUGAAGAGAACUGGCUCAGUUUGUUGACAGCAAACGUAAUAUCAGGUCGAGUAAUCUGCAAAUACAUCAAACGACCAACAAGACGACGAUACGCGGCGGCAUCAACUAAAGCAUCAUCAACACCUUUAGGGGGUUCAAAAACGAGUUUGAUAGAUGGAUCCAUAGGAAUGCUCGAAGGUUUGCAACCAAGAAGACCAGUAUCAUCAAGCAAAUCCAGUGCAUACUUGCGUUGACAAAUAUGUAUCCCAUCAGAAGAGCGAGCAAUCUCUAGACCAAGAAAAUACUUCAUAGGACCCAAAUCUCGAAGUUUGAAAUGAGAUUUUAGUUGAUUCUUCAAUGUCUCAACCUCAGAAUCGUCACUGCUGCAUAUAACAAUGUCGUCAACGUAUACGAUGACACAAAGAAAGAGCCCAUCACGUAGCUUGAGAAAACAUGUAUGAUCAGAGAAUGUUUGUGUGAAUCCCAAAGAAACAAGCGUAGUGGAGAAUUUGAGAAACCACUGACGCGAAGCUUGCUUAAGACCAUAUAGAGAUUUCUCAAGUUUGCAAACAGCAUUUGGAGGCAGUUUGUCCCCCUUUCUUUGUGCAUAUCCAGGAGGUAAGCGCAUGUAUAUCUCUUCAUCGAGAUCUCCAUUGAGAAAUGCAUUGGAGAUAUCAAGCUGAUGAAGAGAGAACCCGUGAAUAGCUGCGAGACUGAGUAACAAUUUGACUGUGGUAAGCUUGACAACAGGGGAAAACGUAUCAUGAUAAUCAAUCCCUUCUUGUUGAGUGUACCCCUUUGCAACUAAGCGUGCCUUGUAACGUUCUACAGUCCCAUCAGCGUUAAACUUUACCUUAAAGACCCAUUUGCAGCCAAUAGGAGUCUUAUCUGAAGGAAGAGUACAAAUAGUCCAGGUGCCAGUACCUUCCAAAGCAACAAUCUCUUCGUCCAUUGGAUCAUCCCACACCAGAAGUCUCUUUGCCUCAGCAUAGGUUAAGGGUUCUUUGAUUUUAUCAAUAGCUACUAAGAAAGAGAGAUAAAGUGGGGAUACUUUACCAUAAGAAAGCACAGAAGAGAUUUCGUGUAUGGUUGAAGAUCCUAUUGAAUUACAAUAGUAAUCUUGAAGGUAAGCAGGCUUUUUAAGUCUCCUGUGUGAUGACUGAACAGAAGAUUCAGCAUCAUUAGUAGUAUCCGCAAAAGGCAAGAUAUCUACAGAAGAUGAAUGAGAAAAAGUCUCAACAUCGGGAGCAUUAUUUUUCACAGGAGCUUGUGUUGAUAACUGAUCAUUAAAGAAGAUAGAAGAAGUUUGAGAAAGAUCAGUACCAACGAGAGGAAAGAGCUGUUCGUGGAAAACUACAUGACGAGAGAUAAGAAUAGAAUUUGUCUCAAGAUCAAGUAGUUUAUAGCCUUUGAUUCCCGAAGGAUAGCCAAGAAAAACACACGCACGAGCUCUAGGAUCAAACUUAAGUCUACUCUUAGGGGAUGUAGAAGCAUAACAGAGGCAACCAAAGGAACGAAGUUGAUCAUAAUCAGGUAUUUUAUUAGUAAGUACUUCAAAAGGUGUUUUGUUUUCAAGGAUAGGAGAAGGUAGACGGUUAAUCAGGUGAACUGCGGUUAGAAUACAGUCACCCCAAUAAGGAAGAGGGAUAUGAGAUUGAAAAAGAAGAGCACGAGCCACAUUGAGAAUGUGUUGAUGCUUACGUUCCACAACAGAGUUUUGUUGUGGAGUUUCAGGACAGGAAUGGAAAGAAAGGAUUCCUUUGGAUUGAUAAAGGGCAGAGAAUUUGAGUUCUGGAGCAUUGUCAGAUCUAACCCCCUUAAUCUUUCUAUCAAACUGAGUCUCUAUCAUUUCUAUAAAACCCGGGAAAACAGUGAGAACAUCAGACUUGUUUUUGAGGAGAUAGACCCACGUGGCUCUAGAACAAUCAUCAACAAUGGUGAGAAAAUAUUUAAAGCCAUCGUGAGUAGGAGUGGAAAAGGGUCCCCAUGUAUCUAUAUGAAGCAGAUCGAAAGGGUUUUUACUGAUAUUAUGAUGAGACACAAAAGGGAGAUGUUUUUGUUUUGAUAAAUGGCAAAUUUUACAAUGAGGAUCAAGUGUAUGUUGCUUAGGAAAAGCUAGAACAGAAUGCAUAGACUCAAGCUUGGACAUAGAAGGGUGUCCUAAUCUCUUAUGCCAUAGAUCGAUACUAGAAACAGAAGCAACAACGACAUUUUGUAAAGUACCUGUAGAAGACAAUGACUCUAUAUCCAGGAAGUAAAGGUUUGCCACUUCUCUACCCAUUCCAAUCAUUAAUUCCCGUGUAGGAUCCUGAAUGCCACAAGAAGAUUCAUCAAACCAAACCCGACAGUGUAAGACUUUAGUUAGACAACUGACACUAAGAAGGUUGAAUUUGAAUUGAGGGAUGUAAAGAACGUCACUAAGGAUUAGAUCACUACCCAGUGCUAUAGUACCUAUGCCAACAAUGCUAACCAGAACUCCAUUGGGUAAAGAAACAGUUGUAUCAGGAAGGGGUUUAAAAGAAAUGAAAGAAGCACGUUGAUGGGUUAUAUGGUUUGUUGCCCCUGAGUCUAUCACCCAUGCGUUUAAAGGUGUGGCAUUGUUAGUCAUAGAGCAGACAUAAGGUUUAGCACUACCGGUAAAGGAACAAUGAAUAGAAGGAUGAAAUUUACCGGAUAUAGGACAAGUGCUGGAAGAAGAAGGAAUGGAAACUGAGACAGAGUGAACCUCUGGAGUGGGAUGAUUCGCUGGAGUCUGAAGUUUGUUACUGAGGAAAGAUACUAGCUGCUGAAUCUGAGUAGGAGAUAAAUCCUGUGUAGACAGUUCAUCAGGUUGAGAAUGAUCAACAACAGCAACAUUCGCAGACAAAGGAGAAACCAGCGUGUCACUCUUCGGUGUUGGUUUCAUGCUAUUAGGAUACCCGUGUUUCUUAUAGCAUCGAUCGAUAACAUGACCAGGACGAUGACAGAAGGUGCAAAAAGGCCUAUCCUUUCUCUGAUAACCACCCGAAGAAGACCUAGCAGAGUUCUGAUCAGAAGACUGAGAAACCUGAAAAGCAGUAGGAGUUUCCAAUAGGGAAGAUGUCUGAGUAUGAGCAGCCCGAUGACUGUCCUCUUGAUCCAAAAGAUUGAACACCUCCGAGAAACUUGGAAGAGCUUUCUUCAUGAGAAUUCUACUUCGAAUGUUCUCAUAGUUAUCAUUGAGCCCCAUAAGAAAGUCAAUGAUACGAUUGGUUUCACGUUCUGCCAGAAGAUCUUCAAUUGUGUGAUUAGCACUUUGAAGACUCGAGAGUUCCUCCCACAAUGACUGCGUCUUUGUGUGAUAUGAGGAGAGAUCCAUACUGCCUUGUUUGAACGAAUGAAGUUGAUGACGAAGCUUGUACAAUCUUGGUAGGUUAGACUUGUGAUAACGUGUGUGAAGAUCCGCCCAAAUAUCUGAAGCCUUCUUGAAAUACAGUAUACUUGUGUAGAUCUGUUUAGUCACGCUAUUCAACAACCAAGAUUUGAUCAUACUAUUGCAUCGACACCAGAUUCGGAAAUAAGGAUCAGAUUCAGAAGGCUUGGCUAUAGAUCCAUCAACGAAGCCUAAUUUGUUCUUAGCCUCAAGACUCGUAGUCAUCGCGAUGAUCCAAACACCAUAGUUACUACCAUCUAAAGGAUCCGCAGCUAGAACUAGUCCAGGAUGAUCGGAAUUAAGUAGAUGAUAUGGAGAAUGUAUGUUAUCAGGUGAAUCGGAUACCUCAAAGCGAGCCACAGGUGGAAUGAGAGGAGAGCGAACGAGAUCAGCACGAUCGGGAGAUUCGAUAACAUCGCGAGGUUGACGAGAGCCAGAAGGCAUGUCGCGAGUCAUCGGAGAUGACGGUGAUUGAGAAUCCGGAAGAUCCGGUGAAGAACGACGGAACUUCGACUUGCAGUUACGUUUCCCCAUUGAUGUCGAUCUCGAGCUCCGAUCGGAAUGACGAUUUGAAGUUGAGCUGAGAUUGCACAGGGAAUCGCGGAGAUGAGCUUGUCGAAGGAAUGAGAGAUGAAAAACGAAGGAAUCCGGUGGAUGACGGUGGAGAUGAGUGAUGACGGCGGAAGUUAGUUAGAGAACGAGCUGAAAUGCUCUGAUACCAUAUGAGUAAAAUAAACUCAUUCUCAUUAAUUCAACUACAAUGUACAAUGAUAGUAUUUAUACUCUAUACAGACUCGUGUAUCCUAUACAACUCCAUCUACACUUCACAAAUACAUAAUAUAGGAUAAUAUUGUCUAUUAUCAAUAACAAACACAUAACAAACCUUUCACAUCUAUAAAAAAAAAAAAAAACAAACCUUCACAUCUAUAAGAACUCGAGUAAUCUCAACAUAACAUCUUAGCUCUCAUCAAGAAACGUUUCAAGCUUAUCUCUCUAACAAACAAAGAUCCAUCAUCAAUUAUAAACAAACAGCCACAGAGAAAUGAGCCACGAACAUUUGAAACUAAGCAUUUACAGAUCCCAUCUUAAGAAACAAACGCAUGAUCGAUCUUAUACGAGAGAAGAGACGCUGGAUCUCUCUCAAUCGAAUCGGAUGAUCGUUCGAAGUUGAGGUUACAUUUACCUUGAGGCGAGAGCAGAGCGAGAGAAAAUCUAUGGCGGAGGAAGCGGGAGAAGGAGGGGGGACGGAGACGGAACCAUCUCCGCUUCGAUUCGGCGGUUGAGAGAGUGGGGAGUCGUCUGCCAUGCAGUGAACCGCUCGGUUGGGAGAGGAAGCUGCGGCGGAGAGAUGGAAGAAUGGGAGGUGGGGAGGAGUGAGAGAGAGUGAUUUGGAGAAGUAUAUUCUAUUCAUCACAUUCCUCAUUUUUUGUUGUUGUUGUUUAUCUUCUUCGCGUUUUGGGAAGCGUGUUUGUUGUGUGUUUCAAUCGUUCUGCUUUGUCACUUAGUUUGGGCCUUAUAAUAUAAAGGCCCAUUAAUGUAAGUGGGUCAUGAAGAUAUCGUUCGCUUCGCAGGAAUAGAGACUUUAUGCGUCUUAUUCUGCUAGCGAUUCAAACCACCAUAACUGGAUCUGGACCGAGCGUAAUACUAGACUUCACCAACAAGUCUUCAAGCCACCUAAAACUAUCAUCUCCUCCAUCGAUAAGCCAAUCUGAAAUCGUCUUCAAAGCUUUCGACAUGCAAACUCUCGGGCUUCGUCAACAACGAUGCAACUCUGGUUUCUCCAAUCAUAACUUUCAGCAGAGGAAACGAUGUCGAGGAUCUCGUCUCUUCCUUUACUCUGCAACCGCUUCAUUUCACCUUUUGGGUUUGUCUAAUUGACUCGGCUUUUAGUUCCACUGAUAUGUGUUUUAUUUAAGAUUAACACUAGGUUCAGUCCACAACAAACUUAAGCUUUUGGGCUCGUAUGUUUUUUUUUUAUAAUAUGAAAGCCAAAAAAUUCUACCAUUGUACAAGGAUGAAUUUCAUGGAUUUUUACCUAUUUAGAUACACAAUGGUACUCAAAUGAAACUAUAGCGAGGAUUUAUAAAAGAGAAAAAGACUAGAAUAGCACUAAACCAAGUUUUUGUUCCCAAAGUAGCACUCAAGGCUCAAAGUCACAAAAAUAGGUUUUAUUAAAGAGGUAAAUAUAUACUUAUACCCCUUGGGUUAAUUAAUCCAAACCUUAGGGUUUAGAGUUAAGGGGUGGGGUUUUGUAAUUAGGGUUUAAAAUUUUAUAAAAAAUAAAUACUAAAAUAAAAAAUAAAAAUUUAAAAAACAAUUUCAAAAAGUAUUUUUAAAUUAUAAAAAGAAAAUUUGAAAAAACAAUUAAAAAAAAUUAAAAAAUUUAAAAAAAAAAUUAUAAAAAUUUCGAAUCUGAAAACAUGUAAUCUGAAACUAUAAAAAAAAAUUAUUUUUUUUAUUUUUUUUAUUUUUAUUUUUUUAUUUUUAUUUUAUUUAUUUUUAUUUAUUUUUGUUUGUUUAUUUAAUUUUAAACCAAGGGUAUUAGGGAUAUUUUACCCUUUAAUGAAUGUCAUUUUUGUGACUUUCUCCUUCUAGUGCUAUUUUUGAGACAUAAACUUCAAAAGGUGCUAUUAUUGACAAUUGCCCUUUAUAAAAUGUUGUUAAUAAAACUUUAAUAAAAAUAAACUUUAUAAAAAAACUCUAUAAAAUUUUUUUAAUCAAAAACGUUAAAUAAACUUUAUAAAACGUUUUACAAAGAUUUAUUUUUAUAAAAAGUUUAAGACGUUUGUAAACUUUUUAAUUUUACUAAACUUUUUUAUAAAAUAAAAAUAAAAAUUUCAAAUUUUAACGUUUUUAAAACAUUUUUUUUCUUUGUUUUUAAACUUUUAGAUUUUAUCAUGUUGUUUUUUUUGUUCUGUUUCGGUAAAUUUCCUUUAAAUAAAUAAGAUUAUGUAGAUGUUUGUUUUUUGAUAAAAUGUGUUAUUUUUAUAAAAUAAGUUUUACAAUACCGAAAUGAAAUUUAAUCAACAAUCUCGAGAGAACCUGCUUAAAGAAACUAAAAUCCAGGGAAAAAUUAACUAUAACCCAAAUUUAAACUAACUGCUGAUGAAAAAAAUCCACAGCACGAGCUAGAUAGCGACCUAAGAGCAUCUCCAAUGUAUUACUCCAAAUUUUACUCCAAAAUGGUGUAACUCCAAAAUAGAGCUGAGUUUUACUCCAAUGUAUUACUCCAUUUAUUACUCCAAAAAGGAAUAUUCUUUUUUUAUUUAGUUAAUAAUUGUUAGUAGUACCUUCAACUUAUUAAAAUUUAACAAUUAACCCAACUAUUUUAUGUUUACAAAAAUUCCAUAAUAAUAUAUUUUAUUUAAAUUAAAUAUUUAUCAUUAAAAAUACAAAUAGAGAUUAUCUUCCAUUUUCAAUUCGUGCAGUUUUUAUCAUAUACAAUUUUUCUAAUUCAAAAAUAUUUAUAUGCAUUAAAAGAACAUAAAGAAAAAACAAAGUUUUGUUUUGUAAUUUGAGUUAUGCAUUGGGUCUCAUUGUUUGUGCAUAUAUCAAGUUCACAAGUACAAAUAUUAUCAAUCAAAAUUUGACCCACAAGAUUAAAAAAACUCAUCUAUUUCGUUUGAAUAAUACUUCACCGAUUUUGCUAGUUUUGAAAACAAUUUAUCGAAUUAUUAAAUCACUUAUUUAUAUUAUAUUAUAUUUAUUUUAUAUUAUUUAUUUUUAGUUUUGACUUUUAUGAGUUUAUGCAUAUUUUAUGUAAACUAUUAAAUAAUCUUUUCCAGAGUAUUAUAUGUUUUGAUGUUAUUAUAUUAUUUUAAAUAUGAAAUAAAAACAUUGAAGAUUAAAAGGACUAUUUUAUAAAUAGAAAAAGUUCAACUCCAAAAUGGAGUAAUGGGCAAGAUUACUCCAUAAAUGGAGUAACCCUAACCAUUACUCCAUUUUGGAGUUCAAUAUGGAAUGGGGUUGGAGAAGAUUUUACUCCAAAAUUGAGUUUGGAGUCAAAAAUGGAGUAGGGUUGGAGAUGCCCUAACAUCAACCAGCCGCCAAAUAGGGAAAAAUAAACUCAACAGGCCUCAGCCGUCAACGUAAAAUAAAGGAACUAGACACGCUUUAACUGCUAAUGUACAAGACCGUUGUGAGACGUCACCAUUCACAGAGAGAGGGGAAACAGAAAAGAACUUCCAAAAAUAACACUGGAAAAACUCAGCCUCUAAAGUACGACUAAUCUACUUGUGAGACGUCAUCAUUCACCAAGAGGAAAGAAAAAUGACUUUUAAAAAAACCACUGAUCUAUAUCAACAUGUUUUAAAAUAAGUUCAUGUAAUCUGGAUUAAAAUAAAAGGGUUUAUGCAAUUUGAAUUACUUCCAAUUUUCUAAUUUCAUAAGUACGUUAGGUAGCACCGCAGUUACGCAGACUCCAAAGUAUAAAAACAAAUUGCAAUUUACUGAUUUUAUUUUCCCUUAAUUAUACAUAACACGACUAAAAGCGUCGACCAAUUCCAAGUGCACUUUUAGCAACAACAAAACAAAACAAUUCCAAGUACACGAGUAAACAAAACCAUAAUAAGACUUUGGAAAUGUUCCCAUCUCGCUCACGCAAGUAAAAAUAAGAAGAAAUCUCAACUAUUUGACAUAGUAGAGAAUAGAGAUAACAAUUUGCAAAAAGAACGGAUAUGGUCCUAUGGAGUAUUAUUAUUCGAAUAGAUAUUCAAAAAAUUUGAAAUGGAUAUUUGAAAUUAGUAUUUAGAAAAUAAUUAUUUUUUUUGCCUAUGUUCUAAUUUAUAUAUUGUAUUUUUAAAUUUUCAGGUCUAUAAAUAAAUUUGGGUACUUAAUAAUUAUACAAAUAUAUAAAAUAUCAUAACAAAUCAUUUGUCCGUAAACCCAAAUAUCUAAAAACUUGAAAUACUCUAAUCGAUUUCAAAUGAAUACCCAAACGCCAACGCUAGUUUGGUAGCAUUGCUCAAGCAGCACAAAAACAAAUUCCAAUUUAGUCAUUUCCUUAAACUAUAUAACACGAGUAAAACCGUUGACGAAAUAAACAAGUAAACAAAAGCAAAUAAGACUUUGGAAACCUUUUCCAUCUCUCUCACGCAAGUAAAAACAACGAGGAAAAACAUCUCAAUUAUUUGACAUAGUGUAAAUAAAAUAUUAUAACUAGUCAUAUUCACAUUCAAAAGUCCUAAUCACAUUUGCAAGUCCUUAUCAGAUUAGGCUAGACUAAAAUACCCACCACUCACAAUUAAACGCGUGGAAGUUUAAUUAGUCAAAGAAAGCACAAAGUCUUUUAAGUCUCUCAACAACUUUCAUAAGAGGAGAAGGAGAAGAGAUAUCACCAAAACCCAUUCAUCAUUAAGCAAUAAAGAAACUUCUCUGCAGCUUCUCCUUCCUCUCACGCGUUUCAAUCCUCUCUAUAUAACUCUCUUCCCCCUCAAAACCCAUCUCAAAUUCCACUUCUUUUGAAUACGUAUUGAAAACCAUGGUUCGUUGUAGCAACAACCUCGUCGGUGUACUCAACUUCAUCGUCUUCCUCCUCUCGAUCCCCAUCUUAGCUGGAGGUAUAUGGCUAAGCCAAAAAGGCUCAACGGAGUGUGAGCGUUUUCUCGACAAGCCCGUGAUCGCUCUCGGAGUCUUCCUCAUGGUCGUAGCGAUCGCUGGUUUGAUCGGUUCGUGUUGCAGAGUCACGUGGCUUCUCUGGACGUACCUCCUCGUCAUGUUCCUCUUGAUCCUCCUCGUCUUCUGUUUCACGAUUUUCGCCUUCGUUGUCACUAACAAAGGCGCAGGGGAGAAAGUUUCAGAGAGAGGGUAUAAAGAGUAUAGGCUUGGAGAUUACUCUAACUGGUUGCAGAAACGUGUGAACAGUGACAAGAACUGGAGGAGGAUUAGGAGUUGUCUCGUUGAGAGCAAAGUCUGUUCUAAACUUGAAGCUAAGCUUAUUAAUGAGCCUGUCAAUAAGUUCUACCAAGAACACCUUACUGCUCUUCAGGUAAAAGCUUUUAAUCUUUUUGUCUUAUAUUUGGUUCGAACCUUGGAUCUGAUUCCUUGUCUGAAAGCUUGUCUGGUUUUAAGGAUUUUAGUCAGAACUUUGUUUUUUUGUUUGUCUGACUUUUUGACCCUUAAAAUCUCUUUUUGUGAUCUCAAAUGUUUUGAUUCUGUAACAUGGCUUUUAAAGAUCCAAACUCUUUAUAACACAAAAGGUUUUUCUUUUUGAUUUAUAAAGUUUCAGCCUUUUUUUAAAAAAAAAAAAUUGAGAAAUGAUUAUAUGUAGAGGUGUCAAAUGGGCGGGCCGUCCAAUGGUUGCCCAUGUCCAUAUACAAACGGGCUUAAUAUGGACAAACCCAUUUUUCCCAUUAGUUUUCAUUGGACAAAAUGUGGAAGACCAUUAAGAAAAUGGUCUUUAUUGGUUUUGGGCUUUAUGGACGUGGACUGUCCAAUGGUCACAAAACCUAAGGUUUAUAAAAUUUAAGUUUUUCCGCUAAACUCGUAAAAUCAAUUUUUUCGCUUAAAUUUUAAUAUCAAAUUUUCCCGUCAGAACCAGAAAAUCGAGUUUUUCUUCAAAACGAAAAAUCGAAUUUUCCCGCCAAAACCGGAAACUCGAGUUUUUCUGCCAAAACCGCAAAAUCGAUUUUUCUCGCCAAAACCGAAAUUGUUGUACUUAUGAACUUAUGUAUUAUUGUACUUAUGAAUUUUAAUUUUAUGAACUUGUAUAUGUAAUUGUAUGCUUAUAAAUUAAAAUUUUCUUAUAUGGUCAUUAUAGACCCAUGGCAAAACCGAAAAAUCGAGUUUCUCUGCCAAAAUUAGAAAAUCGAGUUUUCCGCCAAAACCGCAAAAAUGAGUUUUUUCCGCCAAAACUGAAAAAUCGAGUUUUUCCGUCAAAACUGCAAAAUCGAGUUUUUCCGUCAAAACUGCAAAAUCGAGUUUUUCCGCCAAAACUGCAAAAUCAAUUUUUCCCACCAAAACCGUAAUUGUUGUAUUUAUGAACUUAUGUAUUGUUGUACUUUUGAAUUUAUGGAUGAAUUUUAAUUUUAUGAACUUUUAUAUAUAAUUGUAUGCUUAUAAAUUAAAAUUUAAAAUUUUCUUAUAUGGUCAUUAUGGACCCCAUGGCAGCCCAUAAAAAUAUGGGUGUUAGUGGGUAUGGUCUUUAAUGGACAUGGUUCUUAAUGGACAUGGUCACUUUGCUGUCCACAAACAAUGAAUGGACAAAUGGAUAUGAGCUAAUGGACAUGGGCUCGCCCAGUUUACAGCUCUAAUUAUAUGAGCUUUUAUGUUCUGUUCUUAGCAGUUUUGUAUGCUUUUGCUCUUUUUAAGUCUCUAUUUUCCACUCUUAUGAGACUAGAUAGUCUAAAUAGUAUCUGAAGCUUAUUCUCUGUGUUAUGGUUGAUGUCUUACUACAACUAAUUAACUAAUCUUUUUUGUUUUGUGUUACAGUCUGGUUGCUGCAAACCCGCAGAGAAAUGCCAAUUCGCUUACGUAAGCGCCACAAACUGGACCAAGACGGCCGGGACACACCCUGAUCCAGACUGCCAAACCUGGGACAACGCACCAAACAAGCUCUGCUUCGAUUGCCAAUCUUGCAAAGCGGGUCUCCUCGACAAUGUCAAGAGCGCGUGGAAGAAAGUUGCAGUCGUUAACAUCAUCUUCCUCGUCUUCCUCAUCAUUGUCUACUCGGUUGGUUGCUGUGCUUUGAGGAACAACAAGAGAGAUGACAGCUACGGCCGUACUUAUGGAUAUAAGCCUUGAGGGUCUUUUAGGACAGAGAUUCGUUCAUUGUUCUUUACACAUUAUUGGAGUUUGCUUUUUUAUGUUUGAUGAUUCCUAUCUUCGUGUUUUGAGACCUAUUGCUUGUACAGCUUUCUACUUAUUAGCUAGUGUGUUCUGCCUUCUGGCUAAACCAUGAUAUUGAUUUAUUAUAUGUUUUCCCUUCAUUUUUAUUUAAGCAUACCAUGUUCUCUUGAUCUUCUUGUUGAGGAGCAGAGAAGCCACACUUGUGACAAAAACUCAGCACCGAUCUUGGCUGUAAUAUUGAAAAGAAUUAUGGUAGUCUCUGUGACGCCCCGACCCGCUAAUGUUAGAGAAGAUAUGGAAGGAACCAUGAUAGCUUCGUUUACCUCUCGGGUGUAGGCUUGUUAUGAUUUUCUCUCAGUUUUUUUGAUACAAAACAUUAGAGAAAGAAGCAUACAUGUUGUAAAAAUGUUUUAAAUAUACAUAACUGCAUUUUUUUAAUUUAAUGAACUUGCAUAAAAACACAUUGAGACUUACUCAAAAUUGAUGAUAGUAGGGAUAUUGAUGGAUCUCAAAUUAUCCACAAAAUAAUUAGGUUAAGUGUUUCAAUUACGUGUAUAAGAAAAAUUUAUCAAAAAUUGUGUAUUGAUAUUUCCGUAUGAAGAAAUGUAUUUUAUUGAUAAUAUAAGUACAAAACUAGUAUAAAUAGAGAAGGUAUCUAAGAACAAAGACGUAUGGAAGUACAGUACAAGUAGAAAAUUAGUAUGAAUACAAAAGGUAUCUAAUAACAAAGACGUAUGAAAGUAUAGUAUUGCUUUUAAUCGGAAAAAAAUGUAUUGCUGUAGAAGAAUUUGGAUCCCUCUUCUUCUUGCCAUUGGUCUUGCUUUUAUAGGCCUUCAAGAGAUAGUAACGGCGAUAUAGUCUCCAACGAGGAUCAGAUACCUUUAAAACCGGCUUCAAUGAUUUGACUUCAGUUACAUUGCAGUUUGAAAGUGUCAGCUCAGCAUGGACCGCCUUUUGAGCAUAGUAUGGGCAUCAGACCUCCGAGGGCACAUUUGUCUUCAUGCGGGUUUGAAGGACACUGGAUCGGGUUCUCGGAUCGGGUAUGGAGCGGAGUCAAAUCCGCCUCUAACAGAUAUAUAAUUGUUGAUGAAGGAUAUAGAUUUGGUUAUGGAGAAAUAAAGAUAAGGGAGACGAACAGAUUGGGCUGAUGUUUUUGGUUAUUGUUUGUGUGAAUGAUUGUUACUCGAGCCCCUUAAUUAAUGGGUCCAAAAAGCCUGCCACAAAAACUGCACAUAUGUAAUCGAUACACAAGUAUAAACAUGUAUAAAUUGUAACAUUUUAAUUCUUAAAACUUAUAACAUAUGAAUACAAAAAAAUAUACAGGAUUAGUUUAGUUUGUUGUUGUUUGCGCUUUAUGAAAAAUGAAAGUAUAAUUGUGUCUAAAUGAAGAUUAGCGCUUUAUGAAACACAUAUGAAAGUGUAUAUUAGAUCCAAAUAAUACAUCUAAAAAUAUUUUUCAUCAUCAGAAAUUUAUAUUAAGAAAAUUGUAGUUCCAGUAUAGUUGCGUGUAAAUGAUGAUUAGCGCUUUAUGAAAAUGAAAAAAAAAAUGCAAACGUGAAGAUAAUAUGAAGAGGAAAGAAAGUGGCUCUCACGAGGUCCAUGUUUUUUGGAUCUUGCUUUCUUUUACGUAAUUAGGAUAGCAUAACGUGAAGAGAUCAUGUAGAGGUUACAUGUUUAUUUUGCAUCUUGCUUUCUUUCUAAAAAACCAUCGGUUAACAUAUAUAAUAUCUCUAUAUAUUCGACAAACGACAAAUAGCCCGAGCUAGAAGAAGUUUGUCUUGAUGAAAAAUGGAAGCUCAAAUUCUGUUUCUCUAUCUCUCACUCCUCGCUCUCUCUCUAAACUUCUUAUUUCAGUAUCUCAAGCCGAGGCUAAGCCGCAUGCUCCAGCCUUCUCUUGAAACUCAAGCCAAGGCCGCCAUUUUAUCAAGAAAAGAAGUAGCCGAGUUUCUUGAUUCUCCCAUUGUGGAAGUAGUAGAAGAGGAAGAAGAUGAAGAUAUCUAUACAAUUUCUAGUUCCACGUUCGAUUUUGAUCCAUACAUGGCGAGCAAGGCCGAAGCAGUGAACAAAGCUCUAGACGAAGCCAUACCGGUCGGGGAGCCACUCAAGAUCCACGAAGCCAUGCGUUACGCGGUUCUUGCGGCCGGAAAACGCGUUAGACCUAUUCUCUGCCUCGCUUCCUGCGGUCUAGUAGGCGGCGAAGAAAACGCCGCGAUGCCAGCGGCUUGUGCGGUUGAGAUGAUACACACCAUGUCACUAAUCAAAGACGACUUGCCUUGCAUGGACAAUGACGACCUGCGUCGUGGGAAGCCCACCACUCACAAAGCCUUCGGCGAAGGAAUCGCCAUUCUCUCCGGAGGAGCUCUCUUGUCUCUUGCGUUUGAGCACAUGACAACGGCGGAGAUAUCCUCGGAGAGAAUGGUUUGGGCGGUCAGGGAGCUGGCUAGGUCCAUUGGAACUAGAGGGUUGGUCGCGGGACAAGCAAAGGACAUAAGUAGUGAAGGUUUGGAGUUGAACGACGUCGGUUUAGAGCAUUUGGAGUUUAUCCAUGUACACAAAACUGCUGUUCUGUUGGAAACUGCUGCGGUUCUUGGAGCCAUUAUUGGUGGUGGGUCUGAUGAAGAGAUUGAGAGUGUAAGAAAGUUCGCAAGGUGCAUUGGAUUGUUGUUUCAGGUGGUGGAUGAUAUUUUGGACGAGACCAAGUCGUCGGAGGAGUUGGGAAAGACCGCCGGAAAAGAUCAGCUACUUGGAAAGCUGACGUAUCCCAAGCUGAUGGGGUUGGAGAAAUCUAAAGAAUUUGUUAAGAAAUUGACUAAAGACGCACGUCAACAUCUCCAUGGGUUUAGUACGGAGAAGGUGGCACCUUUAGUAGCUCUUACUAAUUUUAUUGCCAAUAGAAAUAAAUGAAGUGUUACGUGUUUUAGAACUUUGAUAGUUUGUUUCUUUGUGUCGGGUUUAUGUAUACAUGCUAAACUAGUGUGCUUACUUUUAAGUGUAACCGCAUUUUUAUAUUUUUAUUUAAAAUUUGUAAAAUCCAUUUGCCUCUUUUGUAAAUCUAUGCCAGUAAAGCAAAACACCAUCUCUUCACAGGAUGCUAACUCAGCUUUGCGUCUUCCUCCUGAUGCCAUGUGUAAGAGUUGGUCGCAUAUUGGAUCUUUUAAUUGUUUUCGUUACUUUGCGGCAGAGUUUGGUCGCAUAUUUCUUGGACCUCAAUUAGCAUUUUUUGGGUUUACACAGUCCAUCUCAGAAAAAUCAUUCAUAGUGGCUUGGACCCGUUCGUUUAGGUCCGAUAGCUAUUCUAAUCAAAUAUUAAGGAGUUUUUUUUUCCUGUAAAAGGCAUAUAAACAUCUCGCGGCGCCGAUGAGGUGUUUCUCUCAGUUAAACCAAUCGGAUUAUAUAUAUAAAACUAAUCAGAUUAUUAUUCCUCGUGAGACUUAUUCACAGUCGAGCAAGAUCCUAGUGAUACAUUGUUUUUGUUUUGGUUGAGACAGUCUGAUUGGAUUUCAGUUGUAUCGACAUGAAUUAUUGUCGAGUAUCAAUUAUCAUCGUUCAAAGAUAUCUUUUUAUCACCAACUUAAAACUCUGAUCCAUUCCUUUUAGCCACUUGAGUUUUUUAAAGUCUAAUGCCAAACAUCUUUAAAAACAAUAAAUAAUCCGACACGAAUAUUAGUGUACUUUCGUACAUUAUAUUCUAACGAUCGAUAAUUUAUUUGCUGUCUUAAACAUGUUCCCGUCUUAUUUUAUUUAUUGUAGACAAAAUAUAAAUCAAUUAAUGGUGUAUAAUCUAUGGUUAACUGCAUCCAUCCGUUUUGAAAUUUCAGUAUCUUAACUUCUUAAGGUGAUGAAACAAGCAAUGUGAAAACUUUUGGAUAUGCAUUUUUAUUUCAUAUGUUAUCUUUUGAUUUACAGUAACCUUCCUUAUCAUAAUGUUUGUUUUUUUUAUUAUACAUUACUCUUGUUAUUUUUGACCCAAAAAAACGAAAAACAAGAAAACAAAAUUGAUAACUGUUCACGAUAUUGAUGCUCGAGCAAAGGGAUAUGCCCUUUGGCCCAUAUCUUUUGGUAGAUAUUUUAUUAAAAUCUUUUUUGGGUGUAAUUAUUAAAAUAACUUGUCGUCUUAUCUCGCAAAAUAUGCUUUUCUGACGUUAUCUUAUAUCGAAAAUUAGGAAUAUAUAAUAUAUACACGAAUCAAGAAUAAAUCAAUGAAGAUUUAUGAAUUUGAAGUUUCCUUUGUUAUUAAAAAACAAACACCAGAAAAGAGACAUCAUAGAGAAAAUAAACGGGUUUAAUAUGCAAAGGAAAACAAACAACAUUAUUGAAACAGCGUAGUACACUACUAAUAUAUCUAGACUUAGGGGGCGACUGGUUUUCCCGCUACCACCCGCAAACGCAGCUUUUGCGGUUGGUAGCGGUUGUCGGCGGUUUGCAACAAUCACUCAAAUCGCUCUAAACCGCUCUAAACCGCUUUAAACCGCUCCGAAUCUCAUAAAUUCAAAAGCUGGCUCCAGCUAGCGUUUGCGGUUGCGGGCGGUUGCGGGAUGGUAAAAAAAAUUUCUUUUUUUUGAAACAAUAUAUAUACAAAAGUAAAAAUAUUUAAUAAAAAAUUUAAAAUUGAAAUUAUGAAAAUAUUAAAUUAUAUCUAUUAUAUUUUAAUUAAUAUUAUAAAAUUUUAUAAUAAAAACAAUUUCACUAAAUUUUCAAAAAUUAAAAUUAUAACUUUCUAAAUAUAAAUUUUAUAUUUAUUAUAAUUUUAUGAUUUUUGAUAUUUUUAUAAUUAUAUUAAAUAUAAAUAUUGUUAAUUUAUUAUUUGACUGUUACCGCAUUAGGUAGUUAACCAGUCAUAAGUCACCCGCAAACGCACCAAUUUUUAACCGCAAUAUCAGUCGUACAAAUCUCUUAAAACCGUUAGAAACCGCAACCGUCCGCAUCCACAAACUCCCACAACCGCAACCGCAACCGCUGCGUUUGAAGCAGUCAUGCCCUUAGUUGAUUAAAAAAUAAACUCAAUUGAUGAAAGAUUUUUAUUUUUAUAUUUUAUAUAUCGUCCCAAUUGAGUAUAAGUUUCAAAAUAUAAUGAGAAUCGAAUAAAAUCCGUACGACUUUACUACAUGUACAUUUUCGCCGGACACAUAGACGGGUCACUUUCCAAUUUUGAACCCAACACGAACGAAAGACACACAACCAAGUCGUUUUAUCAUUACUAUGGAUCCGACUUCCAUUUCAAUGGUUGGAUCAGUUAUCCGCUUUCUCCUACCUGUUACAUCUUCAACCAUCAAUAAAAUUUUGAAUUUAUCACCAACCAAAAAAAAACGGGUUUGGAUGGCAGCUGCCUCAUUGCCUAAAAUGCUCUCAACCUGCACAAAUAAGGAAAGGACGUACCCCAACAAGAUAGACCAACAGACUACACCAGCAUAAGGAUGAGUUACUCCUAGCAUAUGGAGUCAUCGAUGAGCAUCCCGAGUUGGAGAACACCCGACCAACCAAAUGUAGCCGCCAUAUGCAUGUCUUUGAGAACCGAAGGACUCUACAAAACUUCAGUGACAAACAAAGAAUAUGUUACAGAUAAAGUCUAAGAGCCAAAACCUUAAAGAAUAUCACCACCUUCAAAAAGGAUGAUAAACCAAUGAACCACUGGUAUAUAAGGAAGAUAGCGAAGAAGGACGAAGAAUCAUCGAACACCAAAGCUAUAGAUGACUUAGCGCUUUGGAAACUCCAAAGAACCUUCUUGCGCGGAGACCAAGAACCAGACACAGCCACACAAUAGAACAUAAACCAUGCAUGUGCCACCGAGUAGAAUGACCUUCAGUGAAAUACAUAAACAAAGACAGGAAGGACCGUUCGUCCCAUUACACCUCAAAACGAGCUGUGAAGACCACCCUCCGCUACUCUGCACAAUCCGUAACCAAAACCCAUGAACUCAAGAGAGUCAAAAGAAAGAAAUCCACGCCGAACACUUCGAUUUGAAGCAGAUCUUCUCUUCGACGCUGUUUGAUGGCAUAAGAGAUCAAGAUCAGAAAAAAAAAACAAAAUAGAUCCAAGCACUAAACUCCAAUAAACAUAAAUUUCAAAUAUUACUUAAAAAUAUUUAGAUAAAACUGGUGUAAGCAAAUUUUAGUAACUAUUUUGAGAAUAUUAAACAUCAAACUUUUCUAUUAAAAAACAUCAAAAAUUUUAUAAAGAAAAUGAACAUUUGCGGAGUCUCUAUCUAGCUGAUGUCUGGUGAGUACCAAUUGCAUAAUACUUUAAAACUAGGUGUUCUGCCCGCACAUGCGGGCAUAGUGUUUUUAUAGAUAUUUUUUAUAAAUAUUAAAUCAAAACCAACAUAAUAAAUUAUUAAUUAUAUUUUUAAAAAUAUAAAUCAAACAUUAAACUUUAUAUUUCAUAUUUUAUAAUAAAAAUAUUAUUUCAAAUAAAAACACAACAUAUUUAUGAAUUAUCUUAUGUUUUAAAAAUAUAUUUUAUUUUUGAGAAUUUUAUUAUAUUUACUUAUAGUCAAUUAUCAGAUAUAACAUAUAAAUAAAAUAUUAUUAAUAUAUAUUCAUCACUUUUUAUCAAAAUAUAUAUAUGCUUAUUGUUGUGUUAAAUUUUAAAGAUAUUCACAUAUAUUUUAGAAAAUAUAUUUAUUUGUUUGAUUAGCAUUUAAUUAUAAAUUCUUUUAUAUCUAACUAUAAAUUUUAUAAUAAAAUAUUAAUUUCAGAUAACAACAUAAUAUAUCUAAGAAUUAUCUUAUGUUUUAAAACAUGUUUUAAUAAAAUAUUAUUUUCAGAUAACAACAGAAUAUAUCUAACAAUUAUCUUAUGUUUUAAAACAUGUUUUUAUUUUCGAAAAUUUUAUUAUAUUUAUUUAUAGUCAAUUAUCUAAUAUAAUAUAUAAAUAUAAUAGUAUUAAUAGAAAUUUGUUUUUAAUUAUUUAUAUUUUAGAUAAUUUUUAUUAUUAUUAAUUUUAAUCCCUUCUUUAAUCAGAUAUAUUUUAAAUUCGUUUUUAUUUUUUACUAUUUAUAUAAUUUAUUCAUUAAGGUUAUAAACGAUUUAUUAUUAAUUUUAAUCAUUUUUUAAUCAGAUAGAUUUGAAAUUCGUUUUUAUAUUUCGACUAAUUUAUAUAAUUAUUCAUUAAGGGUAUAAACGAUAUUAAUCGCUCUAACUUUUAACGUGAGAGCUCCGUUGCAAAAAUUUACUUAGCAAAUAAUAGUAUAGAUAGAUUUGUAAUAGUAUAAUUAUUAGUCAUAUCUGCCAUUUGCUGGCCUCAGCGUUACCAUCAGGCCGAAGUCAAUGUUGAUAACGUAGGAUUAAUUACUUCUUAGACCUAAUUAACCAAAUUUAAUUAAUUAAUUAGGUUAAAUAUCUCAGACCAUUUGCUAAUGUAGUACAGUUAGAUUUUUUUGCUCUUUGCCAAAUUAAUUUUUCAAUUUGCGGAAAUGCUUGUCAGUUGUCACUCCAAUAAGUUCGUAACUGGUGGAGGUAGUACUAUACACGUGUCACUGCAUGACUUGUUAAAGCUCUAAUAACUUUACCAAAUUGUUUUUCUUUCAAGGUUCGCUAUGUUGGGAAUAGCACCCAAACUUCCGGGACAUCGAGUCAUAUGCCAAAAGGACAAACGUAUGCCCAAUUUGUUUAUAGUUGCAUAAUAUAUCUUUCUUUUUGCACAAAAAGGUAUAUGCACUAAUUAGCCUAGUUUUAAAUCGCAAAAAUUAAGUGUGUUGUAUUUGUAUAUAAAUAACAGAAACAAUUAAAAUGUUUUAUACAAAAAGCAUAUUAUUUUCUAUGAUAAAAUAUUAUUUUUGCAUGAUUUGAUGUCACAUUAUUUACUAUGAAAAACGCACAAAUAUUGAAUGCACAAAAUAAUUCUUUAUUUACUAAAAUUUAUCCGACUUAUUUAUAAUUAUUUAUAGCACCGAAAAAGCUUACAAAUACAUACAAGUUAUUUAUAACUUUGUCAUCAAGUAUGUUUUUGUAAAUAAGCAUCUCCAAAUAGACUAUUUACUAUUUAGUUUAAUUAACCCACUUGUCUCUCCAUCUGUUCUACUUGUUCGCAUAUUCUUUACGGCAUGUUCCUCAAACAUUGGAAUCUAGAAACCACAAUUAUUUUUUCCUGAUUAUUUCUCAUAACUAUAAGAGAUCGGUGAAAUAAAGAUUUUUUUUGCCUCAACAAGUUAAAUGAUUACCAUGGAAAAUUUAUCAUACUGUUUGUUAAUACAGCUAAAGUACUUGAUUUAUCAGAUUAAAUAAUAAAGACUUUUCAAAGAGACUAUAGAAAAUAUAUGCUUUCUAUGUAAAUACUUUGAAAUAUUGGAAGAAACUAAUUUUGAAAUUAAUCUAGGAAAUUCGUUUUAACAAUAUAUUUUAAUCUAGUAAAUUAUUAAAAGUAAAACGAAUAAAGAACAAGAAAAAUACGUGGAACCACGUUCGCUUACACGCAAAAGACUUUUGGUUUCCUACUUCUUCUCCUCUGUCGCCGUUGCGAACAAAUUUUAGUUUCCAAAAUUAAUAAUUAACUAGGUGAUAACCCGCGCCUUGCGCGGGGUGAAUUGACUCGGUGAUUUAAUGUUUGACAUCCAAAAUAAAGUCUGUAUUUGCAAUAUAUGAUUGAUAAAGUAGGACUUUAUAACACCGGAAGAAAGUUUCAAGAACGGUAAAAACAUAUUUAAACAAUAAAAUAAGUCUUUUAUAACUUAAAAGCUCAUUUAUUAUUAAGAUGCAUAAUUAAAGAAUUUAUCAUAAUAGUUCUUAAGUAAGAUAUUGAAAGCCAAAACAAAAAUAUAAAUGUGAAUAGAAUACUAAUAAAACGAAAAAAUCUCCAGUGUGGAGCUGCGCACCUUAGCGAGCUUGGUCAUGUCUCGGUUCUAAGAUACAGAGUGUACUCUGCUUCAAAGUGUUCUCGUCGAGAUGAAUAGUCAUGUCUCUCUUCUAAGAGAAAAGAGUGGGUUAUAUAGUUCAUACAAUAUAUACACGUUCAAGAACCAUUAUGCAGUGUGGAUGAAAAAUGCUUAGCGAGCUCGGUGAUGUAUCGUUUCUAAGAUUCAGAGUGUUCUCUUCUUGAAAGUGUUCAUGCUGAGUUCUUCGCCGAUAUGAAUGUUUAUAUCUCCCGUAUAAGAGAAAAGUUAAUUACGUCUUCAUCUUCUCGAUUCUGUGUUUCUAACUUACAUGUGUUACUAUCUAGUGCUUCGCAAUAUGCACUGACAGAGCACACCCGUAUAUGUUCUGGAAAGUCUUCUUGAUGGGAAAUAAUCUUUACGAUGGUACGGUGAUGUCGUAGCUUAAGCUUUACGUGAUAACUCAUUCCACGAGUGGUUUUUUUAAUUUUCUAGAUCAAUGAAACGUUUCCAAAAAUUCUGUAAUAGCAAAACCAAUUAAGGCAACUAAUUUGUGAGAGUCUCUGUACAAUGGACACGUGUCAUACAUGGUGUGAAAGCAUUAACUCCAAUGCUCCUCUUUUAAUAUAUAAGGGAUUUAAUAAGAAAAAGUAUCGGACGGCUGUAACACCACCGCAUGCUAACACCAUUACUAACCCAACACGUGUACGGCUACAAAUCCUCAGUAUCUCCACGUUUCUCGCAAGAAGAAAGCGUUUCGAAAGCGAAUAUUCGGUUGUAAAUUGGUAAUAAUGAAUUUCUCGUGUACGUUCUGAUAUACGCUGACGUGUACGUGUCCUUUUUAUUUUUAUUUAAUUUAAAUCAAACAGUAUAUAAACCCUUUUCUCCUCUGUUCAUAUUACAUUCAUAUUUUUUAAAAAAUAUUUAUAUUUAUUUUUGUUUUUAUUUCUCUUUUUCUCUCUCUCAGGGAGAAAAGAAAAAAAAUCGUUCAUCAAUCCAUCAAUGGCGAUGAGGAAGCUUUUGACGAAGCGUCUCUUCAGCAUCUCGAACCAAGCCUCGCAGAGCCUAACGAACUGCCGCAUCUCUUCAUCUUCGCUAGCCGUACGAACACGAGUCCCCAAGGAGUCAGGAGAGGCCAGAAUCGCGCCGGAGCCCGGAGACUCGUCGAUCUCGCGGCGGUUUCUGCACAACACGGCCAUGAUUCGGCCGGAGAUCAUGCAGAUGCCGCUGGGAGAGAGCCUGAUCGAGAAGCUCCGCGAAAUCGACGGCAGCAAGGGGAGAAUCCGAUUAGACGGCAUUGCUCCGCCGAUGGAGACGGAGACGCCUAGUUUGACGGUGGAGGACACGAAGAAGCUCCUCAGAGCUGCGCAGAUCGAGAUCGUGAAAACGAAGCUUAGAGAGACGGGGAAGAGCUGGAUGGCGUAUGAGGAGUUUGUUAGCGUUUGCGGCGAAGCGUCUUCGGAUCUGGAUCAGGGAGCUAAGAUAGCGAAGAUGCUUGAUGAUUCAGCAAACGUCAUCGUUUUGGGGGAUUCUGUUUGUAUUAGACCAGAUCAGGUACUUUUCAUUUUUUUCACUUAACUCGUAUGGAUUAAUUGAAAUGGAAUGAAUGUGUGCAGCUGUUUGAUUUGAAACAGAUUGGGAGAGAUCUCGAAUUAGGUUUCCUGAAAAGUUUUUUUUUAUUUUUUGGAUUUUGAAUACCGAAAACUGAUACUAUUUUCCAUGGGUUGUAUCUCUUUUUCUUUUGGUUCCAAUUCAACAGGAGAUUGAGAAAACCUCUGUUAACCAGAGUGGUAGGAGGUUCCCAAGUUUGAGGUGGUGAUUAACAGAGCAACCGUUUCUUCAGAGACCCAAACCAAUCCAAAAAAAAAAAACAUUGCUUGGAUUACGUUAACUUGAGAGUCAAGAACCUGAUACCAAAACCUUAAAUGAAAUUCUAAAGAGAGUGAGAGAGAGAGUUCUAGAAUAAGUUCUUAUGGGUAUUAGGAUAGUGAAAGUGGAAAGCUUGAUCCAAAGGAUCGUGUUUUAAGUGGAGAAGCUAGAUAUUAAGCAGAAUUGGGAUUCUGGGAUGGGUUCAUUUACUUAGUAGUGUGCUAAUUGUGUGUGUGUUUUUGAGUGCUAAUUGUAUGUGUGUUUAAAGUGCUAAUUAUGUCCGAAAGAAGGUGAUGGAGGUAUUGUUUUACCCAGACGUUUUCUGUUUUUGUCUUUUGCCUUUUGUGUCUGAUCAGGUUACAAAAUCCAUUGAAGGCUUGCUUCCAUUGCCCAAGGUUCGUAACUCGAAUGACCCACGAAGGAUCGAGUUAAAAGAGCUGGAAGCAGCGAAGGCAGUGAUCGAUGUGAAAGCACACUCUUUGGUGCGGAGAGAGCUCUGGGCUGGUCUAGGCUACUUGAUCCUGCAGACCGCGGGGUUCAUGAGGCUAACGUUUUGGGAGCUCUCGUGGGAUGUGAUGGAGCCGAUCUGUUUCUAUGUCACGUCUAUAUACUUUAUGGCUGGGUAUGGUUUCUUCCUCAGGACAUCGAAAGAGCCUUCCUUUGAAGGGUUUUACCAAAGCAGGUUCGAGGCCAAACAGAAGAAGCUGAUGAAUGUUCAUGAGUUUGAUGUUGAGAGGUAUGGUGAGCUGAAGAAGCUGUUUGGCCCCAAGGCUUCAGAUCAUGUUUCCAAGAUUCUUGGAACUAUCCAGAGUUAGUUUUUUGAUUAGACGAGUCAAUGUUGUUGUGUCUGAUUUUUCCUAACUAGAGAAUUCUACCCCCCAAAAAUGAAAAAAAAAAUAGGUAGAUGAAGUUCUCAAGUUUUCAGUUUUCCAAAGAAAAAUGUGUUCGAAUUAUUGCGGCUUGUGUAACAUCAGGGAAGAGUUAUGUUCUUCGUUUUCACGGUUUUUCAUUUAUGAGAUUAAUCUAAAAUGUAACCAUUAUGUAAAUAUAUAACAUGCAAGUGUUUGAAAUGUAAUACAAGAAAAGUUAUCAUUAUUUUGCCUGUCAACAGAACUCUGGUGAGCUGUAAACGAAAAUCUGACUUGUAGCCAGGUAAGCUAUCUACCACAAUCCACAAAAAAUAAUAGAUACAAAAGGCAACUCUUGCUACAAGAUGGAAAAGGGCACAACGAUAAAAAUAAUGUAGAUAUCUCAAGUUAACUGCAUACUUGGAGAGUAUCAAAAUCACCAUAUCAGAUGAAGAUCAAUCAAUUCAACUAUCAUUGGGACUUCCAGAAGCGUAUAGACCACUGGUUCACAUACUCCAAUAUGGAACUGGGAAAGAAACGCUCACCACAAAGGAAGUUAUAACUUCAGCUUAUUCCGUGAUGAAGCUUGAGAUCCAUGAAGCUCUUCGUGAUAUCUACCACCCACUAGUCUCAUUUAAGUCGAUCUCUUUUAGUUUUAUCCCUAGAUCAGAAAAUGUAAGGGCUGAUACAAUGGCAAAAUAGGCUCUUUGGACCAUGAAUCUAUUUUAAGAAUACGAAUGAAAUUUGAUUCUACAAAAAAAAAAACUUCAGCUUAUUCCAAAGAAGCCGAACUUAAGCAAAAACAACUUACUUAUUCGGAAGGUUUGUAUGUUGAGACACAUGGAAGAACUACGAAGAGGUCAAAGAAUGGUAAUGAAACUCGAACAACUAGAGAUAGAGAUCUAAAAGUAGAAGAAGGUUUUAGUCAAAUCAAAGGUUUGAUUUAGAACAAUACAUGUUUUAUUUGUGGAAAAGAAAGCCAUUGAAAGUGAGAAUCACCAAAAAGAAAGAGGCAUCCGAAUUCUGAAAACUUUACAAAAGAGCAUGAGCAACAGUUGGUGUUAACUUUACAAAAGAGCAUGAGCAACCGUUGGUGUUAACCAUUAGCAAUCAAGAUACACUCAAAUGGAUCAUGAAUAGUAUUUCAUUCCAUAUCACACCUAACAAAUAAAUCUUGUUUUAUUUCAAGGAGUAUGAUGGGGAAAGUGUAUUAAUGGCUUAUAUCACUCAUGGUAGCAUCAAAGGAAUGACAAAGAUUUGGAUUCAGAAUCCAGAUGGUUCUAAAGUGAUACUCAAGGAUGUUUAAUACAUGCGGCAGUGAAUAAACAUCUUAUUUUACGGGAUGUUAGAAAAUCAGGUUGCAAGUAUAAAGAGAGCGGCUUCGAGGUUCAAUUUUACAAACAUAGGAAAAAGUAAUUUUAAUAAUAUACAAAGACAGGGUAUACUUUCUUUAAGGAACUGUUGUGACAAGUGAAGUAAAUACUCCAAUAAUCUUAUAAAGAAGUUAGAGGAAAGAAGUUAAGAAGGUGUCUUUCAAUAAAAAAACUGAUUCAUGGACCAAGUCAAGUCCUUACGGUUUAGGACGGAAAGCCAUCAGCUAUAGGUGGAGAUUCUUUUAACAUAAGAUACGAGUCAAGUAAAGAAGCUGAGAAUGGCCAAUCUCUACAUGAUUGUUUUCUUGCAAGGGAUGAAGAAAUGAAAUGAUCAUCAAAGUGGAAGCAAAAACUUGAUUGAAAAUAUUUCAAACCCAUAUUAGGCAACAAACUUACACGAGGAAGCAUCAGCUACAAGGUUUGUGUUCAAAAUUAGUGAUGCAAAAAUCAAAUCUAUAACGCAAUAAAAAAGGAAGAUGUAUCAAAUAAGAUACAUACAUCAUGUAGAGCGGUUGAAUGAAAAGGCACAUGAUCAGAAACUGCAGCUUUUGCUGUGAACUUCUUAAUAUCCGCUAAUUGUAGAAUAUCAUCGCUGUGAUUAAUUUAUCAUCGAGACACCUCACAAAAGAAGAAUGAGUUAAUUAAGAACUCCAAUUAUUUCUUAUCAAUUAUAAAGAGCUCUAAAUAGUAAGAAAAGUUACAUGUAGAGACGGACAAGGCGAGGCAAAGGUUUAGUUCAAGGUGGAGUAGUUGAGACACAUGAAAGUUACUAAUAGGUCUCAAACAAAUCUGAUGGGGAAAAUGAAAGUACAUUAAACUGGUACCUGAGAGAACGUCUUAAAGUGAAGGGAGACAGUAUCUCUGGUUACAAAAAAAAAUACAAUGGGAUCAUUAAACAAGGAAAAAGAGAGGAAAUAAUUGUCUUAAACAGCUGAAGGGAGACAAGUAUCUUUGGUUACAGUGUGAAGGGUGCUGAGAACGUUAAUCAAAUUAUUAAUCUCAUCGUUUUUCUUAAACAAACUGAGGAAUUGAAGAAACUGAGGGAAACUAUGGGGAUUGUCUCUAAGGAUUUUUCUAUUGAGAUGGGACUGUUCGAAGUUGAAGAAUUGACUUAUUUGAAAGAAGGAAUAAUAGAAUAAAAUUUAUUGAAAUACUGCAGAAUUCUGGUCAAGUCAAUCUAGGUGUACUGUGUACAUCACUAUUUCUCAAGAAAAUAACACCUUGUAAUGGAGGAGUCGCAACCUUCUUUAAGAGAGAAGCAACACCUUGUCGAUGAUGAGAAAUCAUCAAAGGAGAGCACAUUGGUGAUAAGAUCUCAUACAUAUUCAACACGAAGCAACAAAGCAUUUUUUUUUUGCUUAGGUGAGAAAGGAUACUAAGGAAUAGGAGUUACCAUGGUGUAUUAGGAAGGAUGAGAAGAAUCUACAUCAGAUGUGGAAAAAGGACAUGACGAUUGCAAAAUGUUACUUGCUCGUAAUUUCGUAAACGUAUCUAGCAGCGCGACGGGAACCUUCUUAAGUAUAACAAAUAAUCCCACCAAGCCAAGCCCAAGGUUUGAUAAGGAUCGAGCAUUAGAGCUCAGAUAUCAACCUUGUUGUGAAAACAGAGAAGAUGAAUCAAAAGUUGAUGAAUCUUCAUCAGCUACUGAUGUCGUCUUCUAGAACCAUCCAAGGAGAAGAACUUUGUCGGUUUCCAUGUAGUAACCUUAUCAAAGCUUUUCAAAUCCCAAGCCGUGCUUGUCAAAGGAACUGUAGGUAGAAUACAUGAGGAUAGUACCUGCGUACGAGCUACAUGAGUCUUCAACACAGUGGAAAUGAAACUUGACAUUAGGUAGAGUUUGAUGGCAUUAUGGGCCUCAACUAACUCUAGCUUUAGCCUACGUCAAAGUUAUAUACUUAUGUCGGCCAAGUUUUGUACAAAGCCGAAUAUGCUUAGAAAACUUUGUUAUAAUUACAUGAGUUAUGAACUUUAAAUAAAUUGUGAUAACCUCAUACGUGGAUUAUUCCAUUAAUAAGAGAAAGAUUAGAUUUUGAUCCGCGCUUAGAAAGCGCAGGUUUUUUGGAUUAUAUUAUACAAAGUUUUAUUAUAUCGGAAAUAUAAUUUUUAACAGUUAUAUAAUCUAUGAAUUAGUUUAUUUGAUAUUUUAUAUGUACACUUUUAUGUAAAUUUUUUUUAGGCAUGAGAAUUAUAUCCGGAUCAAAAAAACAAACCAAAACGACCCGGAAAUAUAAGUUUAGUUCAGGUCCAGAGAAGAUAACCUAUUGGGGUUUUUUUUUGGAUCCGCAUGUCUUUGUUUGAGUCCGGGUACUACCCUAGAUCCAAUCAUAAAUAUGUUGUGUUUAUUAGGUAUAUUUGGAUAUUUCGAAUAUGUUUCCAGCAUUAUGGAUAUUCUUUUUAGGUUUUUGGUUUAUGAUUAUAGUUUUUAUUUCAGGUAAAUUUUCAAAUUAAAAUUUUUUUUUUGGUAUUUGGAUAAAUUUUUGGGUAUUUUCAGUUUAGUGACAAAUUUUGAAUAAGAUUUUGAAUUUUUAGGUAUUUGAAUUUUUUUGGGUAUUUGUUUGGAGUUUCAAGUACUUUUCGUGUUUCAGAUAUUUUUCAGAUUUUUUUUGAUAUUUCGAAUUUUCUUAGGAUCCUAAAUACCCGAACAGAUGUGGACCUAUUACGUCUAUAUCGGGUCCAACAACCUUUUGAUAUAGAUUUAUAAUGUUAUUGUACAAAAACAUGAUUGAUGAAAUAUUUUUAGAAAACUCAUUUUUAAAUAUGAAAAUAUCUAUCAAACUAUAGAGGGUUGAAAGUUUAGUAUAUAAUAUGAGAUUUUAGUAGAAAAGUUUAUAUAUGAUAUGAUUACGUUAUUAUAAAGGAAAGAGGAAGUUAGAAUGUACACAUAUAUAUCGUGUAAUUUCUCUUGCUUUAAAUCAUAUAUUAUAUGAUAAAAGUGAUAAUAUAAAAUAUUAGUUUCAAUGUUUUUAUGAUUAAAAGUCAAAAUGGUAAAUAUAGUAAUAUUAAUGAUUAAGAUUAAGAGUGAUAUUUGAAUAAAUAAAUGAAUUGAAUAAAUUAUUGUUAGAGAAAUAUAUGAUAAUAUAUUGUUAGUCUAAGUUUAAGGUAAUACCAAAAAAUAAUGAGUUAAAUGAAAGGGUCCAAACAACUUUUAUAGGUAGAUUUUUUAAGACUCUUUUCCUUUUAAUAGUAUUGAUUAAUAUAUAAGAGAAAGAGACGAGAACAAAAGAUAGUGAAAUCAAUAAAUAAGAAUAUGUUUAUUACUUUGAUCAAGGUUGUUACUGAAAGAAACUUAUGUUGGUAGAAAAUAAAAACAUUUAAAAAAAAAUCCUAACAUAAUAAAAUACUUAUUUAGUUAUUUUAAAAUAUAUAAUCUCUAAAAUAUUUUAAAUAUUUUUCUGAACUAUCUAAAAUAUUCAAAUUAUUAAAAUUUAAAUAGAAUUCUCCAUAUCGAUAUUGGCCAACCAAACUUCUCAUCCUAUUUUUAUCAGAUUCUUUUGAAAGAUUGAUACCAAAUUAUACGUUCUUGUUCCAUACUUAUAAAUUCUAAUAAUCAUAUUUUAAAAUUGAUAUAAUCCUUAAAAUAAAUUAAAAUAUGUAUUUUAAUAUAAACUAAUUUUGAAAAUAUGAUAUUUAAAUAAAAUGAUUUUCAAAAUUUAAAUUCUAAAUUUUAUUAAUAAAUAUAUUUUCAAAAAAAAAGUUUAUACUUUAUUUCAAAAUUGAGAAGACAGUUCCCAAAAAUAGAGUAAUUUUUUUUUAAAAAAAUGGUCUGAAUUCUGAAUCCUAAACUUUAGAAACUUGUUAAUCCAAAUUAUUUUAUUUUCUUUAUUCUGAAAGCUUAGCCUUUUUCAAUUUAGAUUUUUGUAAGAUUCUUUUAGUAAUCCAUUGAUAGGAAUGCAUAAAACGAAAGAAAAGGGCUUCUCUCUCUACUCCGUUCUCUCACCUUUAUCUUUCACGGAAUUAGAGAUCUGAUGAAGCCUUUGUUUAUAUCGUCAGUUUGUUUCCAGCGUUUUUCAACCGGCUUCGGCUUUUCCGACCGGUCAUCGCCUCCGAAGUCGCACCUUAUCUCUUGGUGGACUUUUGGCUUUUGUCUCUGGCGCCUAUCCCUUCUCCUCCGGUGAUAGACGGCCGGUUUUUGACUCCGCGUCAAGCUCCCAUGGUGUUUGGCGGCGGCUUAUCACCGGGAUCAUCCCGGUUAUGUUCGAUUGGCGUUUUCUGCUUAUUCUACUCUCAAUCGUCUCUCCUCUAUUAUCUUCGAUGGCUUCUUCCUCCUCUUUGUUAGGGCCGAUUCAUCUUCGAGCUUUCUUUUAUCAUUAAAGAUGACCGCUUGUCAUGCAGGAAGAUUGAAGAUUGUAGAGUUGAUUGAAGACGAUUGUAUUUUCUUCUCGAGACGUCGAUCUGGUGAUCGAUUUGGAUCUGGUUGAAGACUGCUCCGAGUGAGCGUUUCUUCUUCAUCCUGUCUCCGCCGACGGCGGAGAUCCGUCGCAUCUCCUCUUUGGUACCGGCGGAAGCAAGCUGACUCCCAGCCUGACCCGUGUCUUCUGAUCGCCGGGCGAUCGAACACGUGGUGGUGACCUGUCGGUUUCCUUCUACAACAGUUUAUACUUUUGGGCUGACAGCCCAAAGUCUGUUUGUUUCGGUUGGGCUUUUGAGCUCCUUUGUCUUUUAAGUUGUGGGCUUGGUUCUGUUUAGGGCUUUGACCCAUUAAUAAAACUCAGUUGACAAAAAAAAAAAAAAGGAAUGCAUAAAACUAGGGGAAGAACAAAACUUGGGUGAUAGAGGAACAGACUGUUGAUUCGGAUAUGGACCACAUCUCCCACGUGGCCAUGACCAUCCUUUGCCUGGCUUUGCCACCUGGAUCCUAAUAAAGUGAGUUUGUGUUUUGUGUUUCUAGGACCACUUUUGUUGUGAUAUAUAUGAGCGAGCAUCGAUGCAUCCACAUAAACACAUUACAUAACACACACGGCGUUUAAUAUUCUCAUUAAUUAAUAUCACUCUUAUUAUUUCCUGAAAUAAUGAAAUUAUGAGUAUUGGUAAUAUAUAGCUAGCUAGGAAGGAUUAUGUUGAUAGUUUGUGACAUCUUUCUCCAAUAUGAGUUGAGGUUGUUAUGUUUAAGAUGAAUUUAUCUCCCCCCCAAUGAAAUAUUUAGACCAUACUUUACUAAGUAAGAUCUUCACUCUAUAAUCCCUUCACAGUUUUUCCUUAAAAUGACUAGCUGUGCAAUUAGCGGUGGAUUAGUUAUUUAUUUGAAUAGAUAUAGUUCUAAUAUUUUAAAGAUUUACGCCACAUAGGCGCAUACUUUAAAUAUAUUGCUUAUAUUUUGACUUAACUGUAGUGAAAUUACAGAUAAAACAAAAUUUAAAAUAUUUAGUGAAAAAUAAGAAAAAAUGAUUAAGAUGAAUUUUUUUUUUGUAAUUUUCUUGUAUUAAUGCGGAAAGAUUAUAAAUAUUAAGAUAUUUCCAAUAAAUAUCUGACAACAUAAAUAUAUAUAACUAGUUGAUGUUCCACACCUUGUGCGGAAUAAUAUAUCUAUACAUCUAAUAAUUUUUAAUUUUAACAUUUUUAAUAAAAUAAUAAUAAUUUAAUUAGAUACAAAUUUUAAAUUAUUAUAAAUUAUAAAAUUUCAAUAUUCAUAUUGGUAAUUAAUUUAUUAAAUUGUAUUAUUUUGUUUCAUAUUUUUAUUUAUGUGAUGUAUAUUUUGGAUCAAAAUCUUUUUUAUAGUAAUAACUAAAUUAGAAAAUUUUGUAUGUGAAAUUAACACAUAUUGUACUUGGACUGAAAAGAAAUCAUGUGGUACUAUAAAGAUUAUAAAAAAUCACAAAUACAAAACAUUAAUGAAUAACAAUAGUUUAAGAGUGUUCAAUCUGGUAAAACCAAACCAUUCAAAACCGAACCAAACCGAACGAUUUGGAAGUACCGAAGAUGUUAUGUUUAGAAAAUAUCAGUAUAUGAUUCAAUAUAUUAAGGGAUCAAACCGAAUAAACAAAAGAA